CGGACCUUAAAAGCUUGCUUUUAAAGUUAGCGGCGGACGGGUGAGUAACACGUGGGCAACCUGCCUGUAAGACUGGGAUAACUUCGGGAAACCGGAGCUAAUACCGGAUAAUCCUUUUCCUCUCAUGAGGAAAAGCUGAAAGACGGUUUACGCUGUCACUUACAGAUGGGCCCGCGGCGCAUUAGCUAGUUGGUGAGGUAACGGCUCACCAAGGCGACGAUGCGUAGCCGACCUGAGAGGGUGAUCGGCCACACUGGGACUGAGACACGGCCCAGACUCCUACGGGAGGCAGCAGUAGGGAAUCUUCCGCAAUGGACGAAAGUCUGACGGAGCAACGCCGCGUGAGUGAUGAAGGUUUUCGGAUCGUAAAACUCUGUUGUUAGGGAAGAACAAGUACAAGAGUAACUGCUUGUACCUUGAACGGUACCUAACCAGAAAGCCACGGCUAACUACGUGCCAGCAGCCGCGGUAAUACGUAGGUGGCAAGCGUUGUCCGGAAUUAUUGGGCGUAAAGCGCGCGCAGGC
rnacentral:rRNA from 1 species